CGUGUGAAAUGAGUGCAAUUGUGCGGUAGUUGGAGCAUUCUUUGGCACUGCCCUUCUUUGGGAUUGGGAUGUAGACUGAUCUUCUCCAAUCCUCUGGCCACUGCUGAGUUUUCCAAACUUGCUGGCAUAUUGAGUGUAGCACCUUAACAGCAUCAUCUUUUAAAAUUUUAAAUAGUUCAGCUGGAAUACCAUCACUUCCACUGGCCUUGUUAUUAGCAGUGCUUUCUAAGGCCCAUUUGAUUUCACUCUCCAGGAUGUCUGGCUCAAGGUCAGCUCUUAUAUAGACUUUUGCAAUUGCCUACCCUGUAGGGGUGGCGCUGUGGGUAAAACCUCAGUGCUUAGGACUUGCCGAUCGUAUGGUCGGCGGUUCGAAUCCCUGCGGCGGGGUGAGCGCCCGUCUUUCGGUCCCAGCUCCUGCCCACCUAGCAGUUCGAAAGCACCCCUAAGUGCAAGUAGAUAAAUAGGGACCGCUUUAUAGCGGGAAGGUAAACGGCGUUUCCGUGUGUUGCGCUGGUGCUGGCUCGCCAGAGCAGCUUCGUCACGCUGGCCAUUGACCCGGAAGUGUCUUCGGACAGCGCUGGCUCCCGGCCUCUUAAGUGAGAUGAGCGCACAACCCUAGAGUCGGACACGACUGGCCCGUACGGGCAGGGGUACCUUUACCAUUUUACCCUGUAGCUCAAGACCCCCCCCCCAAACAUCAUACAUUCAUCACAGAAAGGGUGGUCUACAGCAGAAAUCCUGUCUAGCAGGAUACUGAUAAUGGUCACUUGAUUGGUUUAUCUGGGCAGCCUGGCCAUUCCUUUUGAGAUGCUAAAUACUUAGUUCCUGAAUCCAUGCCACAGGCUCACCCUAUUCAUGCACAAUACACCCUAUUCAUGCACAAUACACUCUUAAGACAGGAUUUGUGAGCAAAGAGACAAUGGGAAGAUUUUUCCCAUUUCCUUCCUCACUGCAGAGAAUAUUUGAGGUCACUGGAAGAGUCAAAAUGGCUUCAGGAUUGCUCUCCUGUAGUAUUUCAGAAACAUGGUUUAUAUACUUACGCAUCUGUUUGCCUUGUACAUUUAUAAACAUUUCAUUUAUAUAUAUGUGAGACCUUUGAAUUCCUAUAACAACCCCCCCCCCGGGGGUAUAAUUUGUACUAAAAAAAAUUGCCCCACAAAUAAUAACCAUGUUUUGUAAAUGGAUGCUUUUGUGUUAACCUGAAGAAACUUGCAUGUCAGACCUCUUAAGGCUAUUUACAAGUGAAGCAGUGCGCAUAGGUGGACAUGGGAUAUUACAUUCAAAACACAAAACACAUUGCGUUCUUUUACUCAAUUACUUGGGUGAAACAUUUUCUCAGUAGUGUUCUAUUCUUUUCACUCAGCAGGAAGGUCCAAAAAUGAUUGAAAAUGCAGUUUGUUUUGUUUCUGCCUUUUUUGUGUUCUCAGAUGUCAAAGUUAGCCUCCUGGCCCUUGUACGUUAAGCAUACUCACAGCAACAACCCGUCAUAAUGCAUCCCUGGUUAGGGCUUGCAGUGAUGGACCUUAAGGAGUAUCUCAUGUAGCAAGGUGGCAACAUUCCCUGGAGAGAAAUGCCCCAUCUGGACCAUCCAUGGGGUUAUACUUUGGCUUUGGUCCUGGGCUCAAGCGGUGUGUUGCACAAUUGCUAUUAAAGGAACCAAAGAAAGCUAAUUGCACUUGGGAUACACUUGUCCAAUUAGAACUGAGCCCAGUUAGAAUUUAUAUAGCCCCAUGGUUCUCUUUUUUUUUAAUAAUAAUUUUUAUUAAGUUUUCCAUUUUAACAAUCCAAUCAAAUCACAUUAAAUAUUCCAAAUUAUGCAAAUACAAAUCAUAAAGUCCAAAUAUUUUGCUAAAUUAUAAAUUUUUGUUGGGGCUUCCCAUGCUUUAAGUUCAGCGGGGUCCAAUCAUCUUAUGUUUCUACUGCUUUGAGUGUCCAAUAGUUCCUUCUUUAAAUGUUCCUGCUGUUAUCCUCCUUUCUUUCAUAGCCUCUGAGUUGUUUCCACAGGCGAGCUGAAAUGAGCAAUAAUAUGCUUCUGUGUGAACUCUGUGUGACUCUCCUUUUUUCCCCUUCAGCUGGUAAGUCUUUUAUUUGCAGUACAGUGGUGCCCCGCAAGACGAAUGCCUCGCAAGACGAAAAACUCGCUAGACGAAAGGGUUUUUCGUUUUUUUAGGUGCUUCGCAAGACGAAUUUCCCUAUGGGCUUGCUUCGCAAGUCGAAAACGUCUUGCAAGUUUGUUUCCUUUUUCAUAAAACCGUUAAUACCCAGGGUGCAUUGCUUGAAGAGGUGCAGUUGUGACUUGACUUCAAGGAGCAACUCAUAGCACGCGGUGUGGUAGCCUUUUUUGAGGUUUUUGAAGACUUUGGUGAUUUUUGAAGCUUUUCCAAAACUUCUUUUGCAGCCAUUUGGUAAGUUAAACUUUUAAAACUUUUUUGGGGGUUUUUUGGAUUUUGGGUUGGGGUGUUUGGAAUUCAAGGACUUGGUGUUGGGGAGGGGUUUGCAAGAAUCUGGAAGCUUGUGUGUUUUUUUUUCUGCAUUUUUCUGAAUUUUUGUGACCAUUGGGCCACUCUGUUUUUUUAAAAAAAAAAAUUCUGGGUUUGAAUUUCUGUGUGGUGGGUGGCUGGGUGCUUUUGAAUUUUUUGGAUGUGAAGCACUGAUUAUUAUUUUUUUUGGUUUGAGCAGGUAGGAGCUGUGCUGCCAUGGGACCCAAGAAGACUGCUGCUGCAGAGGCCGGCGAGGGGAAGAAGGAGAAAGUUACGCUGGAAAUGAAGAAGGAGAUCAUCCGGAAGCACGACGGUGGAAUGCGUGUGACAGACCUCGCCAGGGAGUACGGGAGGAAUCCAUCGACCAUCGGGACCAUCCUGAAGAUGAGGGAGAAGAUCCUUGCGACUGAUGCAGCCAAGGGAGUCACCAGGAUCGUGAAGAACCGCCCAGCUGUUCUGGAGAAGGUGGAGAAGUUGCUGCUCAUCUGGUUAGAAGAGAAGCAGCGUGCAGGGGACACAGUGACUGAGGCCGUCAUUUGUGAGAAGGCCAAGGCCUUGCACGCAGACCUCGUCCGGGAACAGCCAGGAACCUCAGGCGAGCCAGAAGUCUUCAAGGCAAGCAGAGGCUGGUUUGACCGGUUCAAGACAAGAUCUGGAAUCCACAGCGUGGUCAGGCAUGGAGAGGCUGCCAGUUCUGAUGUUUCUGCGGCUGAAGACUUUGCAGCGGAGUUCCUGGAGGUUGUGAAGAUGGAGGGCUACGUUCCACAGCAGGUCUUCAACUGCGAGGAGACUGGGCUGUUUUGGAAGAGGAUGCCCAAAAGGACUUGCAUCACACAGGAGGAGGCCAAGUUGCCCACAAGCCCAUGAAGGACCGUCUGACCCUGCUCUUUUGUGCCAACGCAAGCGGCGACCUGAAGAUCAAGCCCCUGCUGGUGUACCACUCAGAGAACCCACGGGCCUUCAAGAAAUACAAGGUUGACAAGGAGCAGCUGAGUGUCAUGUGGCGAUCCAACAGUAAGGCUUGGGUCACACGUGUGCUGUUUGUGGACUGGGUCAAUCUUGCUUUUGGCCCUGCUGUCAAACAGUACCUGCUGGACAACGACCUGCCGCUGAAGGCUUUGCUUCUGAUGGACAAUGCUCCUGCUCAUCCUAAAGGCCUUGAGGAGGACUUGUUGGAGGAGUUCAGCUUCAUCAGCAUCAUGUUCCUGCCGCCUAACACCACGCCACUGCUCCAGCCGAUGGAUCAGCAGGUCAUCGCCAAUUUCAAAAAACUCUACACCAAGGAGCUUUUCAGGCGAUGCUUCGAGGUGACUGAUUGCACCACCAUCACCCUGCGGGAAUUCUGGAAGGACCACUUCUACAUCGUCACCUACUUGAAGAUGAUCACCACGGCCUGGAACGGGAUCAGCCAGAGAAAUUUGAAUUGCGCUUGGCGCAGCCUGUGGCCGGACUGUGUGGCACCAAGUGACUCUGAUGCACCAGAGUCAACAGUGGUGCAGGACAUUGUUGCCUUGGGGAGGACCAUGGGCCUGGAGGUCACAGAGGAGGACAUCAGCGAGCUGGUGGAGGAGCACGACCACGAGCUGACCACCCAGGAGCUGGUCAAACUGCAGGCAGAGGCUGCGCAGGAGCAGGCCUCGCUGGAAGUGGAGGAAGCAACUGAGGAACGGCUGUCCUCCAAAGAACUGAGGGACAUUUGCCUGAAGUGGAAGGAUGUGCAGGCUUUUGCACAGCGGCACCACCCUGACAAGCACAUGGCACAUGACCUUACGAACACUUUUGAUACGAGGGUCAUGUCGCCUUUCAGGGAGGUGCUGAAAAGGCGGAUGAAGCAGCAGACCAUGGACAGGUUCUUCAGCAAGAAGCAAAGAGUGGAAGAGGAACCUUCUUCGAGUUGUCCCCCAGAGUCUUAGAAAAUGUACUGUACACUUUGUUGAUUUUUAAAUUUUUUCUGUCAUGUUUAGAAACUUAAUUUAUUGUUCCUUCAAUUUUUGAAAUGCUCUUUACAGUAUGUGUGAUUUUAAAGAGCACUUAAUAAACUCUUGUUGUACCAAAUUUGGCUUUGUUUGGACUUUUUUUGACCAUAGGAACGCAUUAAUUGAAUUUCAAUGCAUUCCUAUGGGAUUUCGUGCUUCGCAAGACGAAAAAUUCGCUAGACGAAAAAACUCGCGGAACGAAUUAAUUUCGUCUUGCGAGGCACCACUGUAUGCCCUCACAUGCUGGUGUUUAUGUCGAAUCAAUCCAAAAGUCCUUCUCUGGUGGCAGACGCCAUCUUCUCUCAAUUCCGAUGAAAUAAAAUCUAGGCGUUUGCUCAUUAAUUUUCUCAGACAGGUUGCACCAAACAUUAGUCUUUCCAGAGGAGGUUUGCCAAAUCGGACUUGAAAUACAGAUAUAAUAACAAAGUAAGAGCUCGCCUCUCCCUAUGACUAUUAAUCUCUGCAACUCAGUCUGUCUCAUAAUGGCGGAUCCUGAUUAAAGGUGCGUCAUAGAAGAGUCUUUUAUCUUCUUCCAAGUAUUUCAAAGAACAAAGGCUUUAGUUAAUAUUAUUAUUUCCACACAGUUUAUAUUUUCCGAUCUCACUUGCUAUAAGUAAAUGUAGACGGUUCUUCGGGGGGGAGGGGCUUGUUAGGUAUUAUCAUAGUAGAAAAAGAAAAAGUUUUAUCCCCCCCCUUUCCGUUCCGUUGCAACAUACCGGUUUAGAUGUUAUUCUUUGAUGUUAUCUUUCUUCCUCCCGUCCUUCUUGACACCUCAGUGGCUGUAGUUGGCAGAUUAACUACCCUUUCUUCGCCCGAAGCAUGUCCAAAAUUCUUAAAUCCAAUCUUUAUCUUAAGAAAUGAAACUUGAAGCGCUCAUAGAGACAGCGUCCAGGAGAUCCGAACUCCCUCGAGGGCUUUCCAUCCAGUGCUCCCACCCCCUCCUUCGUUACGAACUCGGGGGUGGUUUGUGGGCAGUUGCGGAUGAGACUGCAUCUUCCCUUCCACCGGGAAGUAUUUGGGAGGCUGAUUACUCCCAUCUCAGCCUCUAAAUUACCUCGUGGGAGCUGGAGAGAUGGUAUUGUUGGCCAUCUUACGUGGCGCCCCUAGCAGAGCCCCCUAGCCCCAUGGUUCUCAACCCUUCAAACCAACCUGUUAAAAACCAUUCUAAAAAGUGCAGUUGUCUAAAUUAGUCAAUUUAACUCUAUAUGGGAUCAUUCCUGCUAAAUCAAAACAUAUACCCUUCCUGUUAUCUGGUCUUUCCUGGAUCCUGAAGCUUCUCCAUGGUAAAACAAAUUAAAACAAUUAAAAAAUGGGUAGAGGAGGUUUGCACACUGAAGAGGUGGGAUGAGGAAAUGUGGUCAUAAAUUGAUCUAAUCUAAAUAUUGAACUACACAAUAGCCUGAUCUAUUAGAAAGCAUAAAGUGCAUGAGAAUCCUCCAUGCCAUUGGGGUGUAAGCCAAACCCUUCUACUGUUCAUAAAAAGGCAAAGCUAAAGGACCCCUGACCGUUAGGUCCAGUCGCGGAUGACUCUGGGGUUGCGCGCUCAUCUCUAUAGGCCGAGGGAGCUGAUGUUUGUCCACAGACAGUUUUUCCAGGUCAUGUAGCCAGCAUGACAAAGCCACUUCUGGCGAACCAGAGGAACGCACAGAAACGCCAUUAACCUUCCCGCCGGAGCGGUACCUAUUUAUCUACCUGCACUGGCAUGCUUUCGAACUGCUAGGUUGGCAGCGGCUGGGACAGAGCAAUGGGAGCUCACUCCAUCACGGGGAUUCGAACUGCUGACCUUCCAAUCGGCAAGCCCAAGAGGCUCGGUGGUUGAGACCACAGCGCCACCAACGUCCCACUUCUACUGUUCAUAGGUAUGCACUAUACAUUAAACAUAAUAACAAUUAUACACAAAAUUGGGUCCCCCCUCUGUGGGAGUAAUACAUAAUUAGCAGACAUAGUUAUUCAACAUUCCUACUUUAUAACACAAAAUACAUAGAAAAUACUAUUUACCAGUCCUAUAUUAGUUGGAUAUCUCGAGGCAAUCAUGUAAUUUUGAGACUAUUCUUGCUGCUUUUACACAUAUCUUUAACUUUUAAGCACAAGGGCUGGAGGUCAAAAAGAGAGAAAAUGUCCUUACAAUACAACUUUCCCCUGUUUGUCAGCCCCCCCAUUAGUCCAAGUCCUUUAUGGAAAGAAAUGGCAGUGGCCACUCUGAUGUCUUUUGGCCGGCAAUGCUCUUGAAGCAAUGCAGGCUGUUUGUUUUCCCCCACCAGUUUCCAGUAACACAUCCACUGAGAAGUGGAAAUCUAUUGGAGACAAUUUGUCAAAUCACUGCCCUGCCUGCCUGCCUCUCUCUCCACCCCCACCCCAUUUUCCAUAGUGUGGAUUCCCAAAGACAAUAUCCCUGUGUGAAGAUAGCAUAAUAGAAGAAAAAUGUGUGUGCAACCUAGAACCUGUCUAGAUCUUCAGGAAGAGCAGUUGCUCUUCCUGAGUACAUAGUCAAGCUGGAAGGGGUGGACUCUCCCUCAAGGAACAUUUUUAGGCAGAGGCUGGAGGGUCAUCUGUCAGGGACUCUCUUAACUAUGACCCUUGGGAACACUUCCAACUCUACAAUUAUAUAAUUCUAUGAACACAUUUGGCAGCAAUUAUUAGCUAGGAAACUUUCUGGUGUUUAUUUCAUAAAAUUUAUAUACCUCUUGAUUGUAAAAAGAAAAAUCUACAAAGUGUUGUUGAAAGGAGGAUUAUAAACCUGGCCAAAUAAACCAAAAUCUACUGGCUCAUUUAUAAAUUAUUCUAAAUCCACAAGCCGGGCAAGUAAGAAGCAUCAAAAGCCCACAAGGGGCUCCGUGUAGGGGUCGGGGGCCGCUUGCCUGCUCCUCCAGCUGGAGCCGUGGCUGCUUUGGCAAAGACUUCCCUCCCGGACACGCCUCUGGAACCCGCGUGUUGCCCACGCCACGUGUGAAUGCGGGCUGCAAAAGUCUCGCCGCCAAGAGCCAAACAAAAGCGGGCUCCGAAUUGGGGAGCGGGCGGGGCACACACAGUCUGGAAGGAAGGGCACUCUGCCCAUGGUCAGGGCAUCCUCUCCCCCGACCUUCCUUCCUUCCGAGAGGGCUCCGCCCUCCGCCGGGACCACC